rnacentral:rRNA from 1 species
UACGUAGGGACCAAGCGUUGUCCGGAAUCAUUGGGCGUAAAGAGCGUGUAGGCGGCCAACUAAGUCAGACGUGAAAUCCCUCGGCUUAACCGGGGAACUGCGUCUGAUACUGGAUGGCUUGAAUCCGGGAGAGGGAUGCGGAAUUCCUGGUGUAGCGGUGAAAUGCGCAGAUAUCAGGAAGAACACCCGUGGCUAAGGCGGCUCUCUAGUACGGUACUGACGCUGAGACGCGAAAGCGUGGGGAGCGAACAGG